rnacentral:rRNA from 1 species
AGAGUUUGAUCCUGGCUCAGGACGAACGCUGGCGGCACGCUUAACACAUGCAAGUCGAACGAGAGAAGAGGAGCUUGCUUUUCUGAUCUAGUGGCGGACGGGUGAGUAACACGUGAGCAAUCUGCCUUUCAGAGGGGGAUACCGAUUGGAAACGAUCGUUAAUACCGCAUAACAUAAUUGAACCGCAUGAUUUGAUUAUCAAAGAUUUAUCGCUGAAAGAUGAGCUCGCGUCUGAUUAGCUAGUUGGUAAGGUAACGGCUUACCAAGGCGACGAUCAGUAGCCGGACUGAGAGGUUGAUCGGCCACAUUGGGACUGAGACACGGCCCAGACUCCUACGGGAGGCAGCAGUGGGGAAUAUUGCACAAUGGAGGAAACUCUGAUGCAGCGAUGCCGCGUGAGGGAAGAAGGUUUUAGGAUUGUAAACCUCUGUCUUCAGGGACGAAAAAAGACGGUACCUGAGGAGGAAGCUCCGGCUAACUACGUGCCAGCAGCCGCGGUAAUACGUAGGGAGCGAGCGUUGUCCGGAAUUACUGGGUGUAAAGGGAGCGUAGGCGGGAUCGCAAGUCAGAUGUGAAAACUAUGGGCUUAACCCAUAAACUGCAUUUGAAACUGUGGUUCUUGAGUGAAGUAGAGGUAAGCGGAAUUCCUAGUGUAGCGGUGAAAUGCGUAGAUAUUAGGAGGAACAUCAGUGGCGAAGGCGGCUUACUGGGCUUUAACUGACGCUGAGGCUCGAAAGCGUGGGGAGCAAACAGGAUUAGAUACCCUGGUAGUCCACGCCGUAAACGAUGAUUACUAGGUGUGGGGGGACUGACCCCUUCCGUGCCGCAGCAAACGCAAUAAGUAAUCCACCUGGGGAGUACGACCGCAAGGUUGGAACUCAAAGGAAUUGACGGGGGCCCGCACAAGCAGUGGAGUAUGUGGAUUAAUUCGAAGCAACGCGAAGAACCUUACCAGGUCUUGACAUCGUAUGCAUAGCUCAGAGAUGAGUGAAAUCUCUUCGGAGACAUAUAGACAGGUGGUGCAUGGUUGUCGUCAGCUCGUGUCGUGAGAUGUUGGGUUAAGUCCCGCAACGAGCGCAACCCUUACUGUUAGUUGCUACGCAAGAGCACUCUAGCAGGACUGCCGUUGACAAAACGGAGGAAGGUGGGGAUGACGUCAAAUCAUCAUGCCCCUUAUGACCUGGGCCUCACACGUACUACAAUGGCUGUCAACAGAGGGAAGCAAAGCCGCGAGGUGGAGCGAACCCCUAAAAGCAGUCUUAGUUCGGAUUGUAGGCUGCAACCCGCCUACAUGAAGUCGGAAUUGCUAGUAAUCGCAGAUCAGCAUGCUGCGGUGAAUACGUUCCCGGGCCUUGUACACACCGCCCGUCACGCCAUGGGAGUCGGUAACACCCGAAGCCUGUAGUCUAACCGCAAGGAGGACGCAGUCGAAGGUGGGAUUGAUGACUGGGGUGAAGUCGUAACAAGGUA